rnacentral:rRNA from 1 species
CACGUAGGCGGACAUUUAAGUCAGGGGUGAAAUCCCGGGGCUCAACCCCGGAACUGCCUUUGAUACUGGGUGUCUGGAGGUCGAGAGAGGUGAGUGGAAUUCCGAGUGUAGAGGUGAAAUUCGUAGAUAUUCGGAGGAACACCAGUGGCGAAGGCGGCUCACUGGCUCGAUACUGACGCUGAGGUGCGAAAGCGUGGGGAGCAAACA